rnacentral:rRNA from 1 species
AUGUUCCAAAAAUGUACAGGACAACUCUUGAGCAGCAGCAAGUGCUCAAUCCUUUUCAGUGAGCACUGCCCGGUAAAUGUUCAGAAUGAAAUCAAGGGCAUUCUGGCGUGCGAGACGUCCACAUUCGAGAGUAAAUAUCUGGGGCUCCCAACUCCGGACGGACGAAUGAAAGACAAACACUUCCAGCCUAUCAUGGAUAGAUUUCGAAAAAGAUGCAAUGUCUUUUGCUGCAAAGGAGGUAAAUGUCAAGGCCAUUGUACAAGCAUUGCAAACUUUUGUCAUGGGAGUCUUUAA